GGCUUUCGGGUUGUAAACCUCUUUCAGUAGGGAAGAAGCGAAAGUGACGGUACNUGCAGAAGAAGCACCGGCUAACUACGUGCCAGCAGCCGCGGUAAUACGUAGGGUGCGAGCGUUAUCCGGAAUUAUUGGGCGUAAAGAGCUCGUAGGCGGUUUGUCGCGUCUGUCGUGAAAGUCCGGGGCUUAACCCCGGAUCUGCGGUGGGUACGGGCAGACUAGAGUGCAGUAGGGGAGACCGGAAUUCCUGGUGUAGCGGUGGAAUGCGCAGAUAUCAGGAGGAACACCGAUGGCGAAGGCAGGUCUCUGGGCUGUAACUGACGCUGAGGAGCGAAAGCAUGGGGAGCGAACAGGAUUAGAUACCCUGGUAGUCCAUGCCGUAAACGUUGGGCACUAGGUGUGGG
rnacentral:rRNA from 1 species